rnacentral:rRNA from 1 species
UACGUAGGGUGCAAGCGUUAAUCGGAAUUACUGGGCGUAAAGCGUGCGCAGGCGGUUAUGUAAGACAGUUGUGAAAUCCCCGGGCUCAACCCGGGAACUGCGUCCGAUACUGGCAGGCUUGAAUCCGGGAGAGGGAUGCGGAAUUCCAGGUGUAGCGGUGAAAUGCGUAGAUAUCUGGAGGAAUACCGGUGGCGAAGGCGGCAUCCUGGACCGGCAUUGACGCUGAGGAGCGAAAGCCAGGGGAGCAAAGCGGGG